UUCUUCAUUCUUGAAGCUUCCAACGCCAUUCUCUCAUUCUCCCAUGGAAAGUUAAUUUUCUUUCAUUUUCUUUCCUUGUUUUCUUUUCAUUUCCUUUCUCUUCUUGCUUCUUUCUUCUCCCAACUUCUUGUGCACCAAAGUUACAACUUCUAAACCCAAUUUCUAGCACUUCCAAACCCAAGGAGAAAGAAAGAAAAAUCUCUCUUUCUUUCCUUUAUUUUCUAUUUCUACUUCACUUUCAAAAAUACUUAGAUUUUUGGCUUCAAAUCUUCAUUUUCAAGGUUGAAAGGUAUAUAUUUCCAACUGUUGGAAUUUUUGAAUUUAUGAUUAUAUUUUCAGAUUUAUUCCCUAAUUUCUUCAAAUUGUUUUUCUUGGAAAGAUUAGGUUUUUUUGUUGAUCUUCAUGCCUCCAAGCUCAUCCAGGUAACGAAAGUUUAAAUUGGAGUAGUUGGCCAAAUGGGCUUGUGAAUUAGACUAGAAACUUAGGUUAAAUGUUAGGUUAGAGGGUAGAUUGCCUAAUGUAAAUUCAUUAGAAUUAUUGGAUUUAAUUUAUGACUUAAUUGAGGUUGUUAUGGUUUAUUGAUAAAUAUAGGUUUUAAUGGUAUUUCGAGACUACCUAGAUUAGAACCAAGGUGAAUGAACUUGCAUUUCAAAAUGUUUUGGGAAAAUCUUUACGUGUUUCAAUGAAUCAUUUAGGAAUUUUAUCGAUUUUUGCUUUAAAAUUUCCUGGGAACAAGCCCUUGAUAAAAUGUUUGAUGUUGUGAAAUGUGAAAUGUGUAAAAGGAUGAAUACAUUUGUUUUUUUAUAAUGUUGAUAUAUAUAUAUAUAUAUAUAUAUAUAUAUAUAUAUAAUAUGUCAUAAAUGGUACCAUUGUGUGACAAAUGCAACCGUGCAUGUGCGGGGUGAGUGUGCACUUGUCGGUGAUGACGGUGAUGAAGGAGAUGGAUGGUGAUGCUGUCCAACUAUGUGCACGAUGUGGUGGGAUGCACAUGAGCUGGGUGAGAUGGGAUGUCCGGCUAUGUGCAGGAUGUGGUGGGAUGCACAUGAGCUGUGUGAGAUGCACAUGAUGAAUCUUGAAAAUUUGCCAUUUAUUUACAAAUUGAUUUUAUUGCAACGAGAAACAUUCUAUUGAUACUGCAUUGCUUGGAUAAUUGCUAAAAAUUUUCCUUUUUUCCAAUUUUAUGUUGAAUACGGUUCCUUCAUCGUUAAAUGAUUUUACAACCAAGGGUUUAAUGGAGGGAUUUUAAUAAGAACUAGAACUAAAUGGUAUUGUUUUCAAAUAAGUACAUUAUGUGUUCUAAACCAUUCCUUGUCAUUGCUUGUCCCCUUCCUAUGUUCACUCACUGAGUUUGUACUCACAUUUUUAAAAUUCAUGUUUUAGGUUUUCUGAGUUAAAGGUGAUUGGAUCCUAGGACAAGGUGCUUCUCCCUAUCCAUUGCUUGGUAGGUUUACCAUGACAUUAAAUGUUAGCAACCGUGAUCAGAGUCACUCCGCUGACGGUCAAGGCCUAAUUAUGUGUAUAUGAAUACUUGAGGUGAAAUACUAAGAUUCAUUGGUCAAGUUAUAUAUGUAUAUUAUGGUAGAUGAUGCCAUUAUGAAUGCAUAAUUGGGUUUUAUGAAUUUUUUUCAAAGGGACUAUAUUUGAACAUUAUGAAUUUUGGAUUUUAAAGGUAUAUGUAUAAGAUUAUACAAAGAGGCUUGCUUGGGCUUAGUGGGCUGAGCCCAUUGGGCCCUUGCACCGUCAUGGCCCGAAAAUUAGGCUGUGACACCUAAAUUCAUAUUGUCAAAAUGACUUUUUAAUAUUAACUCUAUGGAA
rnacentral:lncRNA from 1 species